UCCGUAGGCGGUGCGGCAAGUCGGAAGUGAAAUCUCAGGGCUUAACCCUGAGGCUGCUUCCGAAACUGCCGUGCUCGAGUGCGAGAGAGGCGAGUGGAAUUGCAGGUGUAGCGGUGAAAUGCGUAGAUAUCUGCAGGAACAUCCGAGGCGAAAGCGGCUCGCUGGAUCGCAACUGACGCUGAGGGACGAGAGCUAGGGGAGCAAACAGGAUUAGAUACCCUGGUAGUCCUAGCCCUAAACGAUCAGGACUGGGCGUGGGCCUCGUACGGGGCUCGUGCCGCAGCUAACGCGUUAAGUCCUGCGCCUGGGGAGUACGGUCGCAAGGCUGAA
rnacentral:rRNA from 1 species